rnacentral:rRNA from 1 species
UACGAAGGGGGCUAGCGUUGCUCGGAAUCACUGGGCGUAAAGGGUGCGUAGGCGGGUCUUUAAGUCAGGGGUGAAAUCCUGGAGCUCAACUCCAGAACUGCCUUUGAUACUGAAGAUCUUGAGUUCGGGAGAGGUGAGUGGAACUGCGAGUGUAGAGGUGAAAUUCGUAGAUAUUCGCAAGAACACCAGUGGCGAAGGCGGGUCUCUGGGCCGAUACUGACGCUGAGGAGCGAAAGCGUGGGGAGCAAACGGG